rnacentral:lncRNA from 1 species
GUCUCUCUUUUAAGAUUUUAUGGAUCUUAAAAAGAUCUUUUAAUAAUCUUUAUAAACUAUGAUGAAAGGAUCUUGACCAUUGAUAGUCGAAUAGCCUACUAGUCCCUACAUUUGAUCAGACUGAGCAUUAUAAGAUUUCACCAUCAAUUGCAUCCUAGCAUCCAAGCAUGACCCUUGACUUAUAGUUGAUCAAUUGGAUGCCC